rnacentral:rRNA from 1 species
AUGACCCUACAGACCCUCAAAUCAAGGUGUACUGGAUUUUGCCAGGGAAAGACUAUGGUGAAGUCCAGAGAAAAGGAAACCUUGAUAUCUGACUUAAAGGAGACCUUUGAUAAUCUCCGGGUUUACAAGAUGAUGCUUAACCCGGCCAAAUGUGUGUUUGGCGUUCCUGCGGGCAAGCUCUUGGGUUUUCUGGUAUCCAAUAGAGGCAUUGAAGCUAACCCGGAGAAGAUUAAGGCGAUUAUCUCCCUGGCUAAACCGGCGUGCAUCAAUGAUGUUCAGCGACUGGCGGGUCACGUUGCCGCCUUAAGUCGAUUCAUAAGUCGGCUCGGUGAGAAAGCCCUCCCAUUGUACCAGAUGAUGAAGAAAACCGACACUUUUGUUUGGAGUGAGGUCGCUGAUGCUGCUUUUGAGGACUUAAAGAGACAAUUGCCUGAGCCGCCGGUUCUUGCGGCUCCAAUUGACAAAGAGCCUUUCCUGUUGUAUGUGGCUGCCAAUUCGCGAGCCGUCAGCGUUGCCAUCAUGGUGGAGCGUAAGGAAGCCGGCAAGGAGCAUCCGGUUCAACGGCCGGUUUACUACAUCAGUGAGGUGCUCAUUGAAUCCAUGCAAAGGUACCCACACUGGCAAAAGCUUGUUUAUGGGGUGUUCAUGGCAAACCGAAAGUUGAAGCAGUAUUUUCAAAGCCAUCCUAUAACUGCGGUAAGUUCUGCCCCUUUGGGAAACAUCAUUCAGAACAGGGAGGCCACAGGACGAGUCGCCAAGUGGGCUAUUGAGCUUGGGCCUCAUGGCUUGAAAUACAUGCCUCGGACAGCUAUUAAGUCUCAGGCCUUGGUGGACUUCAUCAAUGAUUGGACAGAACUGCAGGCACCUGAGGAGAAGCCGAAUAACACAUACUGGACUAUUCACUUUGAUGGGUCCAGGCAGCUAGAAGGCUCGGGGGCUGGAGUGGUGUUAACUUCCCCUCGAGGUGACAGAUUUUGUUAUGUACUCCGGCUUAUGUUUCCAUGUACUAACAAUGCAGCUGAAUAUGAGGCAUUACUCCACGGUCUCCGAAUGGCUAAGGAGAUGAACUUAAGCCGGGUACGAUGCUUGGGCGACUCAGAUUUGGUGGCUCAACAAGUGUCAGGCAAGUGGGAUUCCAAAGACCCCCUCAUGGCGGCUUAUCGUCGUGAAGUAGAUGUUGUGGCUGGUCACUUCACGGGUUAUCAAGUGGAGCACAUUGAUCGAAGGGAGAACGAGGCGGCUGAUGCUUUAAGCCGGUUGGGAUCCCAACGUAAGCCGGUGUCGCCCAACACCUUUCUUGAUGUGUUACAUAACCCUUCUGUCAAGGUACCUAUCGAGGAAGACUUAGCAGUGCCAGACCCGGAGGCACAACUGGUGGCGGCUCUUCAUGUUAUCCCGGAUUGGACGGUGCCUUACUUGGCUUAUAUGACCCGGGGUGACUUACCGGAGGAUGAGACAUUGGCAAGACAAAUCGUUAGGCGCUCCAAAUCCAUGACGAUUGUUAACGGUGAAUUACACCACCUCAGCGUCACUGGGGCAUUUCAACGCUGUGUGUCACCUACAGAAGGCCAAGAAAUACUUCGUGAGAUCCAUGAAGGAGAUUGUGGCCAUCAUGCCGGGUCAAAAUCUCUCAUGGCCAAGGCUUUUCGUCAUGAUUUCUAUUGGUUGACGGCUCAUGCUGAUGCAGAGGACCUGGUCAGUAAAUGUGAUGGGUGUCAAAAGUUCUCACGAUGA